UUCGACACCUGGGGUGUUGUUCAGUGCGUGUUGUUUCUUCCUCCGACACCUGGGUUGCUUCUCAGUGCUAUCGUGUCUUUGCUACUUCACUCCACAGAGAGGGAGAUAGUGAAGGAAGUGGUGCUGAGAAUUGCGCAUCCGCUUCUGACGACUUUUGGCAAUAUCAGCUGCAAUCGAUUUGCGGCUAAUUCAUCUGGAACAUCUGUAGAUUUUGAAGCUUCACAGCAUAUUUGAGGACAGCGAAAGAGAGAAAAGAAGGAGAAGAGAGAGGGGAAAAUCUUGAUUAAAACUAAUCAAGCCAACCAAUAAAAUUGUAACAUUCCUGCUAUAGGAUUAUAUCCAGUGCUUUCCGUGUUGAAUAACCGCAGUUUCUCCCUAGAAGAUUACAUUUGUCAUCAAAACUUGGUAACUAAAGACUCACACUUGGUCAGGAUAAAACUAAAUGUUCAAUCCUUCGAAUCAUUACUUUCACCAAUAGUACUAUCUCCUACAAUCGAAAACCUAUGCAUCCAAGCUAGCCAGCAAAAUUUAGUUAGGGCUAUAAAUGAGUUCCAACAAAGUUUAGCUGACUGGUUUGAAUGGAUCGGUUCUCGACAGUGGCACAUAGUAAGAAUCAGUUACGCCAGAAUAUCAAGUAAAACCAACUGUCCACAGCUUAAGGACCACUAUCAGCUUUGAUGAAGCUGCACUUGCACAAAUUCCUCAAGCAACCAUCACAAGUUGGCACAAUCCAGCAAAUUAAUCUAGCAGCUGCAUUCACAACAACUUUUUAGCUGCUACAUUCAUUUGCUAAAGCCACUGCAAUAUUAAUAUUGAUCUGCCUGAAGUAGCAAGAAAUUUAUACCUUCCGAUACUAUUAUAUUCAGUUCUCCACAAAUCCUCUUUAGUUACUGCAAGGUAGCACAGAGAUAUCAUCAAUUUCAGCGAUCAAAAAGAUAAACUUUCCUCAAACUUUGCAAUUAGCAAGAUCUGUGAAACACAUUGACAAAGCUAGCCAUAAUAUUUCAGUCACAAUCAAGUUAUAAAACAGGUGUAGCCAAUGAAAUACAUCUACUCCACUGCUUAUAUCAGUUCUUUGCCCUGAUAUACACUUCUUUACCUUCGUUUACUCACUGUUAAACCUGACUGCCUAUGGUAGCACUAAGGUACCCUUUUAUUCGUUUCUGCAUGUUUAUUCCAACCUUUGGUAGUUGAUCAAGGAUAUGAACUAUGUUAUUUGGUGUGAGCUUCAAAAAUUUGUCGCUCUCUUUUUUCCAUUUUAAAAUCCAUCUUUUAUUUUUUUGGUAGCAUUUUUGAACACAAUUUGUACUAAGCUUUCAUUCGAUCAACCAAACACAUUAAGCAAUAGGUUCUAAGACAUUAAACGCAAGUAUGACAAGCUACUAACUAGCUGAUCACAUAUUUAUACAAUCCAAGACAUUCUCUUCACUUCUCCAAUCUUUGACCACAUAUAUUCUUCGUAUUUCAAAACCAAAUCAACUACAGCAAUGAAUUUGCAAUCAUACUUCUGAAUUUCUUCUUCAAUUUGCUACCUUACUGUACUUUUAAUUUAAAAGUCUACAAUAGACAGUUAAUUGAGAAUGGUUGAAAACUUCACAAAUUUUGUCAUCUGCAUUUUGCUACAGGAAUAUCAUAUGCAAAGAGUAAUUUGCUCUGGAUAAUGUUUGUAUGAAGUAAUUUGCUCAAUAUCCUUAGAGUCAUUUACAUGUGCAGUAAUCCGAGGUACUAGCCUUGCACAAAGUCAAAGAACAUCCAGUAUGAUCAUCUUCUGUUUGCAGUUGGACUUUGUCACCAACUCAUUGAUAUUACAUAAUCAGUUAUAGGCCCAGUGACACAUUGUAACCCUCCACUUGAAUUCAUUUAUUGUAAUGGAAAAAUUGUGCCUGACCUCAAAUGGAAGUUGGUAAGGUGUACUUGAGCUCAAAACGUAUGUAAAGACAGUUACACCGGAAUGAGAUGGAGAUUCAAUUAGAACAUUACUUCAUACAAACAUUGUGCUAUAUAAUGUUAUCAAAUCAACAAUAUUCUUAUG